CCUUAGGAACAUACACUAUAAAACUAAAACAAGAUAUAUCUUUCUGGCCAGAAGUAACUGAACAAAGUUGUUUCCAGCUGAACCUUUAAGUUAUUUCCAAUUUUGUUUUUUUUUGUAUCAGAAAUCCUCCUUACUUACAGUGAACCAAGACGAUGGGUUUCCAUAUCAGUGACCUUCUGAAGGACUUUUAAAUGUAAAGUAGCUUUCACAUGAGCAACAUACACUUAAAAAAUUUGAUUGUUUGGAGAACCGUUAGCUUGAGAACUACUUCCUGUUUUGUUCAAAUUAAACACCUGGAGCAUUAUCAAGUUGUAUCUAGCCGUUUUAUUUAUAUGGUAAAGCUAACGGGGACCGAGUAGACUGUGAAUGACGGGCAGCGUCCUGUUAUCCAGGUUAUUUUGUUUGCUGUGAAACUAAUCAGGCGGUUCCUCUGCCAUUCCUGAGGCAGUCGCCUCGGAUCCACCGGCUCCCGACGAAGCAGUCACGCCCAAACCUGCCGCCCUCCUUCACGAAUCAACCAUUGUGGAACUCGGCAGCACCGGCAGAACCAAAAGCCUCCCAGAAACCGGCUGCAGCUCCUCGCUAGACCUUCACAAGCCUCUCCCUCCUCCCCUCACUCCUCCUCCUCCGCCUCUUCCUCCCGCUGCAGACAUUCCCGACCUUCCUCUUCCAUCGCCCCCCAUCCCUCCUCCCCCUCCGCUUUCCACCAAGUCGGCUUCCACCUCCAGCCCUCCGGUCCCUCCAAAGCCGCCCCUCGGCGACAGCCCCCAGCGUCCCACCACGCUCAACAUAAAGACGCUUCCGCGCUCCAUCGCGAGGGAGAACGGCGGCCCUCCGCAUCGGGUCGACGACGAUGAGGAUGAGAGGAAGCUGCUGGAAGAGGAUCUAAAAAAAUGCAUUGAGGACUUCAAAAAGAUCCGCUUGCCCACGGUGUUUCCGGACCGCAAGAGGCACUGGCAGAACGACCUGCUCAAGAAGUACAAUGCGUGAAGAGAAGAGCCUCUCUGUGGUACUGCUGUGAAGAAACCCGACUAAAAACCUUUAGGAACUAUUCUGCGGCUGGUGAAGAGAAGCUCAGGUUUAUAGUAAUGUAAAAUAUUUGGACCCAGUUUUUUCUGAUUUUACUUUUUGUUGUCACAAUUAGAUGUUUCAGAUCAUCAAACAAGCUGUAACAAAAGACGUAAAAAGCAGAGUGAACUCAAAAGUCAGUUUUCAAAUAUUAACACACAAAAAAAAUGUAUCCAAACCAGCAAUGUCCAAUAUAAAAAAGUAAUUAAACCAGCAACAGUGUGACUGUCAAUGCAUUUAGAGAUAUUUAGCAUUGAUUGUGCCAAGUGUGCUUUUGGAUCGCUGUCCUGCUGUGUAACUCGUGUGUGGCAGAUCACAAGCCGACUUUCAUGGUUCCAUCAAAUUACAGCAAGUUAUCCAAAAUCUGAUGCAGCAAAACAGUCCCAGAUCGUGAUACCACCACUGCUUUUGACAGUAAAUACGAUGUUCUUUUUCCAAAAUGCCUUGUUACUUUUUACAUGAGAUGCAGCCGAGCGCACCUUUCAGAAAGCCGAUUCUUUUGUGACACCCCGGAUGAGACUCCAGUGUCCUCUUUCAGUAAUUUUAGAGGAUGUUCAACACCACGUUUUCUGUAUUUGUGAAUAAUACCUCUCAUUGCGGUUCACUGGCAUCGCCUUAGACACGGCUUUGUGACCCUGAUGAUGUGAAUUGCUUGUCUUGCUCUGGUUAUAUUUGACAUUAAAGCAUGUUUGGCGAUCUGAAACAUCUCAGUGAGAAAGAAGAAAUGCCUACGGGAGCAGAUACCUUUUCACAGCGCUGUAAACGUCAGAAAGUUUACUUCACCUGGACAUCUUAAGCAACUUUUCUAUUUGUCAGAGAGCAUGUCGUGCUCAGGUUAAAACCAAACGCAGUCAGCGGACACUAAAAGUGUCCGUUCACCUCGACGAAAACCCAUAUCCCUACGGCGACUCCUUCCACGUAAAUCUCGCGAAACAUCGACAAAGGAAAGAAGAUAAAUGUGAUGUCAUUUAUUAGGUAUUCCUGCUUUCCUCUCCUCUGCAACGUGUCUGCUGAUCAAGCAACUGGAAAACAGCGGCAAACUGUCACGCUUCCAAAGCAUUUGACCUUAAUGACGCAAAAUAAAGAAAGGGAGUGAAAUUUCUGGAUUUAAUCUCUCUUGAGUUUGCCUCAUCAAUAUUACAUGGCUGGCUUCAAAGCCUUUCUUCUCUAAUACAUGAGCUCCACAUUUUUGCUUCAUUCUGUGUUUAUCUUCCAGUUUGCGAUGGAAAGAAUUCAGAGAGAGAGAGAGAGAAUGGAGCCUAUCAGAAGCAGAGAGGGUAAUUACAGGCAGGACUGAAUGUGGAAUAAGAAUGGCAGUAAUGGCUAGAUGAACCACUGUACAGCCCCAUUUGUUCCUCUGUCUGCGCUGCAUAAAAUGCUCAUCCAGCUCCGCUAAUGAAUUACCAGGUGUCUGUAUGUCCCCAUUUCCUUCCGUCAUUGUGGGGAAAAUGUGAUAAGCAAGUCGGUAUGAAAUGAAAGAAUAAUUGCCUUUUGUCUUUUCAAUUGUUCUGAAUCGUGCACUGUGUGCAUUGAACUCGGCGGUUGUAAGCUUAACUCUGCAACAAAAAAACAAAAAAAGGAGAAGAAGAAAAAUGCACAAGCCAAAACAUUGCAGAAAAGAAAUGACGACAGCUGUUCCAGCACAGAGUUAACGGUGACGGUCUGUGCUGAAAUCACAUACAGGGUCAGGGAAGGUAGAGGACAGGCAAGUUUAUUAGUAUAGCAACACACAAGACAGUUCAAAGUGUUUUACAGGUAAAUGGAGAAGACGAUGGAGUACAGGAGCUAGAGCAAGGCGAAAACAAUCGCAUUCAAAACGAGAAAGGCAUUUAUCGGACGAUGGCAUAAUUCAAAUGUGACGUAAUUAAUUUGAAAGUGAUCUUUAACCUUUAUGGAAGAAGCACAGGGAACUAUUUUCAGUCCUGUUUCUGCAGAUCUCAGGUCUUCAGGUUUGUUCCAGAGCAGAGGAGCAAAAUUAACAAAAUAAUGUUGGGUAAAACCGAUGAUUUAGCUGCUAUGUUGACAGAAACAACAUAGCAUCUCACAAACCUUAUUAUCGUGACCUAAUAAAGUCUCCUCUCACUACAUAAAUGUGUGUGUGUGUGUGGGGGGGGGCAGUAAUCCUCUUUUAAAUGCAGAGUGGUGCAGUUAAACUGCUUUUUCACACUGUCAGCUCAUUGAAUAGAUGUUUGCUGCACAUCGCUGUCUUAUCUGUAAAACAGGAAUGCAGAAAGAUACGUAAGAUGUGGCCUUGACGGCAGCACAGGACACAACUCUGGACAGCAACGUGAUGACUGACAUGUCAUCUUAAAGGAUUUACUCACCGAGAGCAUCAGCGGUCCUGUUGGGUUAGCAUGACUAAACAAUGGUGGCUCGGCAUCUGUUUGAGCGAAUGCGAGUUGACUCUACUGAAGUUUCCCUGUGACCUCUGCUGAAAUAACCUUGUUGAAUUCCUGAAGGAAUAUUAUACAUUGUCUUAAUUUGAAUUAAAUUUAGGGGAACAAAUACAACUUGAGCAGACUAAUUUUCUCAUUAAGAACAAAACAAAAAACAAAACUGAUUUUCCACUCCUCUCGGUAUGAAUGAACCUCUUUUUAUACAGAGUAGCACCUCAGGAAACCAUAAACUCGCAGUUCUAACUGUUACAGCUCAGUUUAUAGAAGGAGGCGGUGGAUCCUUGAAUCUCCCACGCCUGCAGUUCGGUGGUGCCUUAAUCCAUGACAAGAUAAGAAACAGAGUGAAAGCGGCUUAAUAGAAGCAACAGUUUUACCACCUCCAGCUGAUGCAACGAACAUGUCCCGAUCAAUAAAUCAGCGGAGGAGAAGAUUGUCUCCUGACAGCGCUUGCGGCCAAGCAUCGGUUUACUGUUCUUUUUUCUGGGGGGCGGGGGGAGACGAUGGGGAUGCUCAUGUUCAGCACUGUAGUUUUUUUUAUUUUUUAUUUUAUUUUGUCUUCAAAAGUCUGACUAAUUACCUCUGCAGCUUUCGUCUGGUAUGUUUUUCUUUUCAUAUUAUGUUUGGGGUCCUCUUGAAUUUAGAUGCACCUUUGAUGUUUCCCCUCCACGUCUCCGCUAUAGCCUCCUCUCUCUCCAGAAAUAAUCACUGACGCAUGAGACCAUCCGAUUGCUGUUGUUUUUUUGUUUUUUUUUUUGCUGGGAUUCAUAUAAAAAUAUCCAUGUAUUAUCUUGGCCUUGUAAGAA